CCCUCUCUCACUGUCUCGUUUACCCAAAGCAACAAAAUCAUCAACAACAAUGAAGCUCCGGUGCCAUGGAAUCCGGCGAAGGCAGUGUCUGGUCUUGGCGAGCGGUGGCAGCGAUGGGCGUCCUCUAUUCCGACGACCUCUGUAGAUCCGGCGUACUCCAUCAGCGGCGACGCAGUUCGGCGAUGCUGCCGCCUACACUCUGCUAGCACUGCCCAACGCCAAUGUCUUCUUCCUUGCACCGACUGCCGAUGUCUUCUUCUUCCUUGCGUUGACACCGGCUCGCCUCGUCGACCACUUCUCCGCCGAACGCAGCAGUUGCUCCGUCUUUCCUAUCGCCUCGUCGACCCCUCGUGAGCUCGUCCACCGACAGCAGCCAACAGUUCAGUACUCCGGUCUCUAGUGACCACGAGUACAGUACAAGGGGAUUUAUGAAACAAAAGUUCCAUUGGAGUUCAAUGCUAUUGUUCAGAUUGAUUGUGUUUGUAAGGUGGAUAAAGCAGCUAAGAAGCGGAAUGACCAGGACGGCUGGAGUCUCUGUGAACUGCAAAUGAAGACUUCCACUAAGUGUCCAUAUUUGGGCCAAUCAAUCUCUUUCUUCUACUUGUAUCAUAGAUGGGCGAGCGGUUUAUGUUGGAUAUUUUCCUCCAUCCAAGACAAUUUUUGUUGUAGUUGUUAAUCCUUUUCAAAACAAGGAAUUAACACCCAUGCAUAUACUUGAAAAGCUAUUCUGUGAGGCUUGCCAAACACUGUCAUCUCAUCCUCCAAUGGAAAAAGAAGGUAUCACUUUCAAGGUCAAUGACUUGUCAGUUGAGGACUACAUCACUGCCACUACUGCGAAAAAAUACGCGACAAAGCUUUCGGGCGUGACAUUAUGGAUACAUAUUCUACUAAUUCAAAUGAUGAAAACAUAGGAGAUGAUUAGAUUAUGUUUAUUAAUAUAAUUGGUAUUGUUUGUAAUGAUGUAAUAUUACACUUCUAUGCUUUUGUAUUGUGAAUUUGUGAUUGAGUUUGAAUGUUUUGAUAUAUAAUAUAUUUUACAAUUAUAUUAUUUA